rnacentral:rRNA from 1 species
GAUGAACGCUGGCGGCGUGCUUAACACACGCAAGUCGAACGGUGAAGCCAAGCUUGCUUGGUGGAUCAGUGGCGAACGGGUGAGUAACACGUGAGCAACCUGCCCUGGACUCUGGGAUAAGCGCUGGAAACGGCGUCUAAUACUGGAUAUGAGACGUGAUCGCAUGGUCAACGUUUGGAAAGAUUUUUCGGUCUGGGAUGGGCUCGCGGCCUAUCAGCUUGUUGGUGAGGUAAUGGCUCACCAAGGCGUCGACGGGUAGCCGGCCUGAGAGGGUGACCGGCCACACUGGGACUGAGACACGGCCCAGACUCCUACGGGAGGCAGCAGUGGGGAAUAUUGCACAAUGGGCGGAAGCCUGAUGCAGCAACGCCGCGUGAGGGAUGACGGCCUUCGGGUUGUAAACCUCUUUUAGCAGGGAAGAAGCGGAAGUGACGGUACCUGCAGAAAAAGCGCCGGCUAACUACGUGCCAGCAGCCGCGGUAAUACGUAGGGCGCAAGCGUUAUCCGGAAUUAUUGGGCGUAAAGAGCUCGUAGGCGGUUUGUCGCGUCUGCUGUGAAAUCCCGAGGCUCAACCUCCGGGCCUGCAGUGGGUACGGGCAGACUAGAGUGCGGUAGGGGAGAUUGGAAUUCCUGGUGUAGCGGUGGAAUGCGCAGAUAUCAGGAGGAACACCGAUGGCGAAGGCAGAUCUCUGGGCCGUAACUGACGCUGAGGAGCGAAAGGGUGGGGAGCAAACAGGCUUAGAUACCCUGGUAGUCCACCCCGUAAACGUUGGGAACUAGUUGUGGGGACCAUUCCACGGUUUCCGUGACGCAGCUAACGCAUUAAGUUCCCCGCCUGGGGAGUACGGCCGCAAGGCUAAAACUCAAAGGAAUUGACGGGGACCCGCACAAGCGGCGGAGCAUGCGGAUUAAUUCGAUGCAACGCGAAGAACCUUACCAAGGCUUGACAUACACCAGAACGGGCCAGAAAUGGUCAACUCUUUGGACACUGGUGAACAGGUGGUGCAUGGUUGUCGUCAGCUCGUGUCGUGAGAUGUUGGGUUAAGUCCCGCAACGAGCGCAACCCUCGUUCUAUGUUGCCAGCACGUAAUGGUGGGAAC